rnacentral:rRNA from 1 species
CUCGGAGUCUGAACCCCGCGAAAGAACAAGUGCAUNNUGCKACGUUGGGCGAGAGGCGUCUCGCCGGUACCCGUACUACACACCCUUCGGGGUCGGUCGGGUUCCGAAUCAAAGCGUACACCCCAUUUUCAACCCCAGUAAACUCUGAAUCUGAACUCGAAAGGGAGGCUGGCCCUACNNNNNNUCAACCAUAUAACGUGUAAAA